CGCCUCCCGCGCGCCGGUAGAUUGGUUGUUUCAUUAUGGAUGGAGGGGAUGAUGGUAACCUUAUUAUCAAAAAGAGGUUUGUGUCUGAGGCAGAACUAGAUGAACGGCGCAAAAGGAGGCAAGAAGACUGGGAGAAAGUUCCAAAACCUGAAGAUCCAGAAGAAUGUCCAGAGGAGGUUUGUGACCCUCGCUCUCUGUAUGAAAGACUACAGGAACAGAAGGACAGGAAACAGCAGGACUAUGAGGAACAGUUCAAAUUCAAAAACAUGGUAAGAGGCUUAGAUGAAGAUGAGACCAACUUCCUUGAUGAGGUUUCUCGACAGCAGGAACUAAUAGAAAAACAACGAAGAGAAGAGGAACUGAAAGAACUGAAGGAAUACAGAAAUAACCUCAAGAAGGUUGGAAUUUCUCAAGAGAACAAGAAGGAAGUGGAAAAGAAACUGACUGUGAAGCCCAUAGAAACCAAGAACAAGUUCUCCCAGGCAAAGCUGUUGGCAGGAGCUGUGAAGCAUAAGAGCUCAGAGAGUGGCCACAGUGUGAAAAGACUGAAACCGGACCCUGAGCCAGAUGACAAGAAUCAAGAGCCCUCAUCCUGCAAGUCUCUCGGAAACACUUCCCUGAGUGGCCCCUCCAUCCACUGCCCCUCUGCUGCAGUCUGUAUCGGCAUCCUCCCGGGCCUGGGCGCCUACUCUGGGAGCAGCGACUCCGAGUCCAGCUCAGACAGCGAAGGCACCAUCAAUGCCACCGGAAAGAUUGUCUCCUCCAUCUUCCGAACCAACACUUUCCUCGAGGCCCCCUAGUUUCUCUGUCCUUACACAGGGAGCUCCUCCCCAAGGGUAGAUCGGACCGUUCAUGCUGCCUUCGGGCAUUACAUCCCUCAAAAAAAAAAAUAAACUCCUUUGCCUGCAUCCUGUGCACAACAUGACGUUUUUAACCAAUCUAAUCUAAAAAUGUGCCAGAAUCCACCUGUGGCCCGAAUCGUGUUUGGUUUCUCUUUCUACUGCAGUGCACAUGAGCAAACCUGUCCCGCUGCCACUUUCCUCACUGAUACUGGGAGGAGGGCAAGGCCCAGCUGAAGUUCCACUAAAAAUGCCCUAGGAGAAUAGGCACCGGCUGGCUUGCCAAAGGGUUUGGGUUUUAUUGCUUUCUGUUGUUUUCUUUUCCCGACAGCACAAAGAAGUAAGGGCAGUUAUUGGACAGGUGUUAUUUAAACAUUCUAUUGUAGGUGAAUGUGUUGUUUGGUUCUACUGCAUUGUGGAGCAUGCGGGGAAAGAGAACUGACCCAGGGGAUGAAAUGGAGCCCUUCCCUGGAACUAACCAGUCCUUGAUGUUGUGUGACUAAGUAAAGAUGAUAAACCCCAUCUGCUGGGGGUGUCACUUCACACUCGGCAUGCAUUGUGAAAGCUUUCCAUACCCUUGGCCAUUCUCUCUCCCCUCUUUAUCCAACCCCAUUUAUGCAGGAAGGGACUGCUAACAAGAAAGCUUCCAUCUCAAACCUUUUCUCUGCCUGGGAAAUUAUUUUAUGUUUGUUUUUGAAAUAAAGGAUUUAGUUUAAGAUUCUAAAUUUUAGAGAAA